ensembl:lncRNA
AUGUUCAGGAGCAGAGACUAUCCCUGGAGAGUAUUUAGACAAUAUUCCUUGAAGGACUGGGAGAAGAGGAGGAGAAGGACUGGGAGAAGCCAGGAGGCCCAAAGACUCUUGUUGCAGGCGAGGAGUGGCAUAGAAGAGGUGUCAUGCUGGGCCACAGAAGAUGUGAUUUCAUGCUGUUCAAGAACCCGCUGCAGCCUUCAGGUGUCUUCGGCACUUCUGAAUCAAAAGUUCAAGCCAAAGUUUUAUCCUAGGACACACUCCAUGGGUAGCAGCCUUGUACACUCUCCCUCCCUCAUCACAGGAGCAACUGCACUGCUCAAAUACGCCAGAGCGUUUGACACAUUCCUUUGUCAGGUUGCCACUUCCUCACUUGCCACUGCACUGCCUGAACACCUUCUGCAGGACUUCAGGCACUGCUGUUGUCCACCACAGCUUUGUCCUGCCCCAGCGCAGUUUUCUUCAACCUGCCACAUGCUGGAAGGGGGCUGA